GACGAACGCUGGCGGCGUGCUUAACACAUGCAAGUCGAGCGGAAAGGCCACUUCGGUGGUACUCGAGCGGCGAACGGGUGAGUAACACGUGCGUAAUCUGCCCCUGGCUUUGGGAUAGCCACCGGAAACGGUGAUUAAUACCGGAUACGACCACUUCUCGCAUGGGAUGGUGGUGGAAAGUUUUUCGGCCAGGGAUGUGCUCGCGGCCUAUCAGCUUGACGGUGAGGGAAUGGCUCACCAUGGCUUCGACGGGUAGCCGGUCUGAGAGGGUGACCGGUCACACUGGGACUGAGACACGGCCCAGACUCCUACGGGAGGCAGCAGUGGGGAAUAUUGGACAAUGGGCGGAAGCCUGAUCCAGCAACGCCGCGUGAGGGAUGACGGCCUUCGGGUUGUAAACCUCUUUCGGUGGGGACGAAGCGCAAGUGACGGUACCCACUAAAGAAGCACCGGCCAACUACGUGCCAGCCGCCGCAGUAA
rnacentral:rRNA from 1 species